rnacentral:lncRNA from 1 species
AGUACCAGAUUAUAGAAAUGCCUGCAUUCAAUACAUAUAUAUACUGUAUAUAUAUAUAUAAACCAACUCUCCGCAUUUGGACAGAUGUGCUGCGUCACAAUCCACGUCACCUCCAGGAGGGGGGAAGUCUUUUUAUGUUUACCUUUAUCUGGAGCAGGACAUUGCUUAAUAGCCGCUUCUGUUAUAAUGAGGAAGUACGAACUGGUUUUCAUUGGCAAACGGAUGAUAACUGUUCGAGAUGAGUGAAAAUAUUGCCUGGUUUCUUUACUUAAUUAAACUUUACGCUGAUUUAAACGAUCUGCAAGUUUUGCAACCUUAAACUGCUAACAAAACCCAACAAAUGCGACAUAUAUAUAUUCCAGACACGCAACAUGGCGGAAAUGUCGCGUGUUUUAUUUAAAACAUUCGAAUUUUUCUAUAACCAAUCAAAUAUUCACUUUGAAGUGAAAUUUGCAUAUUUCUGUUCAAAAAUCGAACAGUUCCUCUGGUGUCACAAAACGGAAACUUUAAUUAUUUUAAUUAAAUUUUUUCCCCUCUUUUUAAAGUUAUAUAUAUAUUGUCC